CCUACGGGAGGCAGCAGUAGGGAAUAUUGCUCAAUGGGGGAAACCCUGAAGCAGCAACGCCGCGUGGAGGAUGAAGGUUUUCGGAUUGUAAACUCCUUUUGUUAGAGAAGAUAAUGACGGUAUCUAACGAAUAAGCACCGGCUAACUCCGUGCCAGCAGCCGCGGUAAUACGGAGGGUGCAAGCGUUACUCGGAAUUACUGGGCGUAAAGGGCGCGUAGGCGGGAUAGCAAGUCAGGUGUGAAAUCCUAUGGGUUAACCCUAGAACUGCAUUUGAAACUGGUAUUCUAGAGUAUGGGAGAGGUAUGUGGAAUUCUUGGUGUAGGGGUAAAAUCCGUAGAGAUCAAGAGGAAUACUCAUUGCGAAGGCGACCUGCUAGAACCUAACUGACGCUGAUGCGCGAAAGCGUGGGGAGCAAACAGGAUUAGAUACCCUUGUAGUC
rnacentral:rRNA from 1 species